rnacentral:misc_RNA from 1 species
AAGUCGUAACAAGGUUUCCGUAGGUGAACCUGCGGAAGGAUCAUUAAAGUGUUUCGGAGCCUGGCUCGGGCAUCUCACCUCGAGGUGUCGGUGUCAGCGCCCCCACACGUGUUUACUCAACUUGGUUGCCUUGGUGAGCCUGCCCUCGUGGCUGCCGGGGAUGCCUCACGGCGUUCCGGGCUCGUGCUCACCAGUGGAUCAUUUGAACUCUUCUGUGAAAAUAGCCAGUCUGAGCAUUAUGCAAAUUAAAUAAAACUUUCAACAACGGAUCUCUUGGUUCCG